UAAUGUAAUUACUACAACAUUAAUGCACUUGAUCCCAUUAGAAAUCUGUAGUUAAGAACGCUUGGGUUUCAGUAGUAUUGGCAUGGGUGACCUCCCACGAAGUCCUAGUGUUUUACAUGCA
rnacentral:rRNA from 1 species